UACGUAGGGUGCGAGCGUUGUCCGGAAUUAUUGGGCGUAAAGAGCUCGUAGGCGGUGUGUCACGUCGUUCGUGAAAACCUGCAGCUUAACUGUGGGCGUGCGGUCGAUACGGGCAUCACUGGAGUUCGGCAGGGAGACUGGAAUUCCUGGUGUAGCGGUGAAAUGCGCAGAUAUCAGGAGGAACACCGGUGGCGAAGGCGGGUCUCUGGGCCGAUACUGACGCUGGAGGAGCGGAAAGCGUGGGGAGCAAACGGG
rnacentral:rRNA from 1 species